rnacentral:rRNA from 1 species
GACGAACGCUGGCGGCGUGCCUAAUACAUGCAAGUAGAACGCACAGUUUAUACCGUAGCUUGCUACACCAUAGACUGUGAGUUGCGAACGGGUGAGUAACGCGUAGGUAACCUGCCUGGUAGCGGGGGAUAACUAUUGGAAACGAUAGCUAAUACCGCAUAAUAUUAAUUAUUGCAUGAUAAUUAAUUGAAAGGUGCAAUUGCACCACUACCAGAUGGACCUGCGUUGUAUUAGCUAGUAGGUGAGGUAACGGCUCACCUAGGCGACGAUACAUAGCCGACCUGAGGGGGUGAUCGGCCACACUGGGACUGAGACACGGCCCAGACUCCUACGGGAGGCAGCAGUAGGGAAUCUUCGGCAAUGGACGAAAGUCUGACCGAGCAACGCCGCGUGAGUGAAGAAGGUUUUCGGAUCGUAAAGCUCUGUUGUAAGAGAAGAACGGGUGUGAGAGUGGAAAGUUCACACUGUGACGGUAUCUUACCAGAAAGGGACGACUAACUACGUG